UACGUAGGGGGCUAGCGUUGUCCGGAUUUAUUGGGCGUAAAGAGCGUGUAGGCGGCCAGGUAGGUCUGGUGUGAAAACUCGAGGCUUAACCUCGAGAUGUCAUCGGAAACCAUUUGGCUAGAGUCCGGAAGAGGAGAGUGGAAUUCCGAGUGUAGAGGUGAAAUUCGUAGAUAUUCGGAGGAACACCAGUGGCGAAGGCGGCUCACUGGUCCGGUACUGACGCUGAGGUGCGAAAGCGUGGGGAGCAAACAGG
rnacentral:rRNA from 1 species